UACGAAGGGAGCUAGCGUUGUUCGGAAUCACUGGGCGUAAAGCGCACGUAGCGGAUUUGCCAGUCAGGGGUGAAAUCCCGGGGCUCAACUCCAGAACUGCCUUUGAUACUGAGGAGCUUGAGUCCGGGAGAGGUGAGUGGAACUGCGAGUGUAGAGGUGAAAUUCGUAGAUAUUCGCAAGAACACCAGUGGCGAAGGCGGCUCACUGGCCCGGUACUGACGCUGAGGUGCGAAAGCGUGGGGAGCAAACAGG
rnacentral:rRNA from 1 species